UCUUGUGCCAUCUUCAAAAAAUAUUUCUCUAAAAUUGUUGGGUAUAUGAAGAUGGUAAGAUGACAAAAUCUUAUAUUUGUGUAGUGUAAAUUGUACGCUUAGUACUUCAUGUUUGAAAUAGUGGACAAGGACUUAUUUAUACAUAUUGCACGUAGCAAUUAUGAUUAGUUACGUAUACAAAUGGUUGUGUCAUUUCUAUUGCCAA